ACGGAGGGGGCUAGCGUUGUUCGGAAUUACUGGGCGUAAAGCGUGCGUAGGCGGCUUUGUAAGUUAGAGGUGAAAGCCCGGAGCUCAACUCCGGAACUGCCUUUGAGACUGCAUCGCUUGAACAUCGGAGAGGUAAGUGGAAUUCCGAGUGUAGAGGUGAAAUGCGUAGAUAUCAGGAGGAACACCUGCGGUGUAGACAGCUUACUGGACCAUUUCUGACGCUGAGACACGAAAGCGUGGGUAGCAAACAGGA
rnacentral:rRNA from 1 species